UAGGGAAUCUUCCGCAAUGGGCGAAAGCCUGACGGAGCAACGCCGCGUGAGUGAUGAAGGUCUUCGGAUCGUAAAACUCUGUUAUUAGGGAAGAACAAAUGUGUAAGUAACUAUGCACGUCUUGACGGUACCUAAUCAGAAAGCCACGGCUAACUACGUGCCAGCAGCCGCGGUAAUACGUAGGUGGCAAGCGUUAUCCGGAAUUAUUGGGCGUAAAGCGCGCGUAGGCGGUUUUUUAAGUCUGAUGUGAAAGCCCACGGCUCAACCGUGGAGGGUCAUUGGAAACUGGAAAACUUGAGUGGAGAAGAGGAAAGUGGAAUUCCAUGUGUAGCGGUGAAAUGCGCAGAGAUAUGGAGGAACACCAGUGGAGAAGGCGACUUUCUGGUCUGUAACUGACGCUGAUGUGCGAAAGCGUGGGGAUCAAACAGG
rnacentral:rRNA from 1 species